rnacentral:rRNA from 1 species
AACGAACGCUGGCGGCAUGCCUAACACAUGCAAGUCGAACGAGACCUUCGGGUCUAGUGGCGCACGGGUGCGUAACGCGUGGGAACCUGCCCUUAGGUUCGGAAUAACUCCCCGAAAGGGGUGCUAAUACCGGAUAAUGUCUUCGGACCAAAGAUUUAUCGCCUUCGGAUGGGCCCGCGUUGGAUUAGCUAGUUGGUAGGGUAAAAGCCUACCAAGGCGACGAUCCAUAGCUGGUUUGAGAGGCUGACCAGCCACACUGGGACUGAGACACGGCCCACACCCCUACGGACGGCAGCAGUGGGGAAUAUUGGACUGUGGGCCCAAGCCUGAUCCAGCAAUGCCGCGUGAGUGAUGAAGUCCUUAGGGUUGUAAAGCUCUUUUACCCGGGAUGAUAAUGACAGUACCGGGAGAAUAAGCUCCGGCUAACCCCGUG